CUUCCACUAAAUCAAAGUUAUCCAUCUCCACCAAAAAGAUCGGGACACCCUCGUUCUUAUUAUGUGGUAAUCAGAGCAAGGUUUGAUUGGUGAGAGAUUUUAGUUUGCAAUUUUUUUCCUAUAGUCCAGAAAAGCCAAAAAAAAAUUUUAGUUUCAUUCCCAACAUCCUAUAGACCCAUUGAGCCUUUUACUAGUACUACUUAGUUCAGGCAAGUUGUGUUUGAUUUACAUCGGUUGAGUCGAAUUGUUGGUCUUGGGUUUAGACUUUUAGAGUUUCGAGUUCUUGGCACGUUUUAGUCACUGCCCAUCGUAUAAUCUCUGCUGCAAUCACUAUUAUCAUAUACAUUUGGAAUGUCUGAACUAUCAUCACCACCCUACUUGUGCACCGUGUAAACUCCAUCCACCAGUUUAUCUUUUCACUUGUACGCACCCCUAUAUUUUUAGGCGCAUGCACCCUUUCACUUCAACCCAUGAGCAUGCUAUGAUUAACCACCACCUCCUGCAAGCUCUUUUCUACCAUCCAUACAUCCUAUUAUAAGCGCUAGCGCACAUUCUAUUUUCAGCAUCCUAUUGCAACCACCAGAUUUGUUCCACAUUUGCGCAUCUAAUUUUAGAACAUUCCAUUGUUCCAUCCACUUCCAGCAGCGCGCAUCCUUUUGCCUGUCCUCCACUCUUCUUUCACAUUAUAUUUUUAGCAUCCCCAUUGCAAUAAGUACUACUGCAGCACCAUAUCACCAUCACAAUUUGCUAGUUGUAUUUUUGUCACACUAAAGGCAUUGUGCGUAUUCUGAAAUCUAAUCCAUCAAAAUUUAGAUUUGUUUUAGUUGAGCAAAGUAAAAGAAAAAAAAACAGAAAGAAACAAAAAAACAAUCAAAAAAAGAGUAAAAAAACGAAAGAAAAAAAAACGAAAGAAAAGAAAGGAAGAGGAAAAGAAGGGGAGUUAUCUCUUGUUGUCCUUAUUAUUGUUCC
rnacentral:lncRNA from 1 species